GUAGUCCACGCUGUAAACGAUGGGCACUAGAUGUUCAGGGUAUUAACCCCUUGGGUGUCGUCGCUAACGCAUUAAGUGCCCCGCCUGGGGAUUACGGCCGCAAGGUUAAAACUCAAAGGAAUUGACGGGGCCCGCACAAGCGGUGGAGCAUGUGGUUCAAUUCGACGCAACGCGAAGAACCUUACCUGGACUAGACUACAUCGGACAAUCCCCGAAAAGGGACUUUCCCGCAAGGGACCGGUGGUUCAGGUGCUGCAUGGCUGUCGUCAGCUCGUGUCGUGAGAUGUUGGGUUAAG
rnacentral:rRNA from 1 species